GAUGAACGCUGGCGGCGUGCUUAACACAUGCAAGUCGAACGGAAAGGCCAGUGCUUGCACUGGUGCUCGAGUGGCGAACGGGUGAGUAACACGUGGGUGAUCUGCCCUGCACUUUGGGAUAAGCCUGGGAAACUGGGUCUAAUACCAGAUAGGACCAUGCUUUGGAUGGUGUGGUGGAAAGUUUUUUCGGUGUGGGAUGAGCUUGCGGCCUAUCAGCUUGUUGGUGGGGUAAUGGCCUACCAAGGCGUCGACGGGUAGCCGGCCUGAGAGGGUGUACGGCCACAUUGGGACUGAGAUACGGGCCAGACUCCUACGGGAGGCAGCAGUGGGGAAUAUUGCACAAUGGGCGCAAGCCUGAUGCAGCGACGCCGCGUGGGGGAUGACGGCCUUCGGGUUGUAAACUCCUUUCGCAACUGACGAAGCUUUUUGUGACGGUAGGUUGAGAAGAAGCACCGGCUAACUACGUG
rnacentral:rRNA from 1 species